GUAGGUGGCAAGCGUUGUCCGGAAUUAUUGGGCGUAAAGCGCGCGCAGGCGGUUCUUUAAGUCUGAUGUGAAAGCCCACGGCUCAACCGUGGAGGGUCAUUGGAAACUGGAGAACUUGAGUACAGAAGAGGAAAGCGGAAUUCCACGUGUAGCGGUGAAAUGCGUAGAGAUGUGGAGGAACCCCAGUGGCGAAGGCGGCUUUCUGGUCUGUAACUGACGCUGAGGCGCGAGAGCGUGGGGGAGCAAACAGGAUUAGAUACCCUGGUAGUCCACGCCGUAAACGAUGAGUGCUAAGUGUUAGGGGGUUUCCGCCCCUUAGUGCUGCAGCUAACGCAUUAAGCACUCCGCCUGGGAGUACGGCCGCAAGGCUG
rnacentral:rRNA from 1 species